UACGAAGGGGGCUAGCGUUGCUCGGAAUUACUGGGCGUAAAGCGCACGUAGGCGGCUUUCUAAGUCGGGGGUGAAAUCCUGGAGCUUAACUCCAGAACUGCCUUCGAUACUGGAGAGCUCGAGUCCGGGAGAGGUGAGUGGAACUGCGAGUGUAGAGGUGAAAUUCGUAGAUAUUCGGCAAGAACACCAGUGGCGAAGGCGGCUCACUGGCCCGGUACUGACGCUGAGGUGCGAAAGCGUGGGGAGCAAACA
rnacentral:rRNA from 1 species